GAUGAAGAACGUAGCGAAAUGCGAUAAGUAGUGUGAAUUGCAGAAUUCAGUGAAUCAUCGAAUCUUUGAACGCACAUUGCGCCCCUUGGUAUUCCAUGGGGCAUGCCUGUUCGAGCGUCAUCUACACCCUCAAGCUCUGCUUGGUGUUGGGCGUCUGUCCCGCCUCUGCGCGCGGACUCGCCUCAAAAUCAUUGGCAGCGGUCCUUGCCUCCUCUCGCGCAGCACAUUGCGUUUCUUGAGGGGCGCGGGUCGCGUCCACGAAGCGACAUUACCGUCUUUGACCUCGGAUCAGGUAGGGAUACCCGCUGAACUUAAGCAUACAAUAAGCGGAGGA
rnacentral:misc_RNA from 1 species